UUAAGCGACUAAGCGUACACGGUGGAUGCCCUGGCAGUCAGAGGCGAUGAAGGACGUGCUAAUCUGCGAUAAGCGUCGGUAAGGUGAUAUGAACCGUUAUAACCGGCGAUUUCCGAAUGGGGAAACCCAGUGUGAUUCGWCACACUAUCAUUAACUGAAUCCAUAGGUUAAUGAGGCGAACCGGGGGAACUGAAACAUCUAAGUACCCCGAGGAAAAGAAAUCAACCGAGAUUCCCCCAGUAGCGGCGAGCGAACGGGGAGCAGCCCAGAGCCUGAAUCAGURUGUGUGUUAGUGGAAGCGUCUGGAAAGGCGCGCGAUACAGGGUGACAGCCCCGUACACAAAAAUGCACAUGCUGUGAGCUCGAUGAGUAGGGCGGGACACGUGGUAUCCUGUCUGAAUAUGGGGGGACCAUCCUCCAAGGCUAAAUACUCCUGACUGACCGAUAGUGAACCAGUACCGUGAGGGAAAGGCGAAAAGAACCCCGGCGAGGGGAGUGAAAAAGAACCUGAAACCGUGUACGUACAAGCAGUGGGAGCACGCUUAGGCGUGUGACUGCGUACCUUUUGUAUAAUGGGUCAGCGACUUAUAUUCUGUAGCAAGGUUAACCGAAUAGGGGAGCCGAAGGGAAACCGAGUCUUAACUGGGCGUUAAGUUGCAGGGUAUAGACCCGAAACCCGGUGAUCUAGCCAUGGGCAGGUUGAAGGUUGGGUAACACUAACUGGAGGACCGAACCGACUAAUGUUGAAAAAUUAGCGGAUGACUUGUGGCUGGGGGUGAAAGGCCAAUCAAACCGGGAGAUAGCUGGUUCUCCCCGAAAGCUAUUUAGGUAGCGCCUCGUGAAUUCAUCUCCGGGGGUAGAGCACUGUUUCGGCAAGGGGGUCAUCCCGACUUACCAACCCGAUGCAAACUGCGAAUACCGGAGAAUGUUAUCACGGGAGACACACGGCGGGUGCUAACGUCCGUCGUGAAGAGGGAAACAACCCAGACCGCCAGCUAAGGUCCCAAAGUCAUGGUUAAGUGGGAAACGAUGUGGGAAGGCCCAGACAGCCAGGAUGUUGGCUUAGAAGCAGCCAUCAUUUAAAGAAAGCGUAAUAGCUCACUGGUCGAGUCGGCCUGCGCGGAAGAUGUAACGGGGCUAAACCAUGCACCGAAGCUGCGGCAGCGACGCACUACGGUGCUGAAGCAACAAAUGCCCUGCUUCCAGGAAAAGCCUCUAAGCAUCAGGUAACAUCAAAUCGUACCCCAAACCGACACAGGUGGUCAGGUAGAGAAUACCAAGGCGCUUGAGAGAACUCGGGUGAAGGAACUAGGCAAAAUGGUGCCGUAACUUCGGGAGAAGGCACGCUGAUAUGUAGGUGAAGCGACUUGCUCGUGGAGCUGAAAUCAGUCGAAGAUACCAGCUGGCUGCAACUGUUUAUUAAAAACACAGCACUGUGCAAACACGAAAGUGGACGUAUACGGUGUGACGCCUGCCCGGUGCCGGAAGGUUAAUUGAUGGGGUYAGCGCAAGCGAAGCUCUUGAUCGAAGCCCCGGUAAACGGCGGCCGUAACUAUAACGGUCCUAAGGUAGCGAAAUUCCUUGUCGGGUAAGUUCCGACCUGCACGAAUGGCGUAAUGAUGGCCAGGCUGUCUCCACCCGAGACUCAGUGAAAUUGAACUCGCUGUGAAGAUGCAGUGUACCCGCGGCAAGACGGAAAGACCCCGUGAACCUUUACUAUAGCUUGACACUGAACAUUGAGCCUUGAUGUGUAGGAUAGGUGGGAGGCUUUGAAGUGUGGACGCCAGUCUGCAUGGAGCCGACCUUGAAAUACCACCCUUUAAUGUUUGAUGUUCUAACGUKGACCCGURAUCCGGGUUGCGGACAGUGUCUGGUGGGUAGUUUGACUGGGGCGGUCUCCUCCUAAAGAGUAACGGAGGAGCACGAAGGUUGGCUAAUCCUGGUCGGACAUCAGGAGGUUAGUGCAAUGGCAUAAGCCAGCUUGACUGCGAGCGUGACGGCGCGAGCAGGUGCGAAAGCAGGUCAUAGUGAUCCGGUGGUUCUGAAUGGAAGGGCCAUCGCUCAACGGAUAAAAGGUACUCCGGGGAUAACAGGCUGAUACCGCCCAAGAGUUCAUAUCGACGGCGGUGUUUGGCACCUCGAUGUCGGCUCAUCACAUCCUGGGGCUGAAGUAGGUCCCAAGGGUAUGGCUGUUCGCCAUUUAAAGUGGUACGCGAGCUGGGUUUAGAACGUCGUGAGACAGUUCGGUCCCUAUCUGCCGUGGGCGCUGGAGAACUGAGGGGGGCUGCUCCUAGUACGAGAGGACCGGAGUGGACGCAUCACUGGUGUUCGGGUUGUCAUGCCAAUGGCACUGCCCGGUAGCUAAAUGCGGAAGAGAUAAGUGCUGAAAGCAUCUAAGCACGAAACUUGCCCCGAGAUGAGUUCUCCCUGAC
rnacentral:rRNA from 1 species